rnacentral:lncRNA from 1 species
AAAUUGUUGGCAAUGUUGUAGGAUCGGUGCCGACUACAACGCUCAAUUGCGUACUGGUUUGAGGCAGCUCACGUCAUAACAAAUGGUAAGCUUCCGAAAGCAGUUUCGGUUUUGAUCACUGCUCUGGUUUGAUGCCUAUUCCAUCAUGGGCGAAUUCCAUCGGUAAACCGGCAAAUUAAUGCAUUUCCUUAAACUCGUUCUGUUUCCGCAGGUUCGGUGGUUCCCUGCAGAGUGUCGCUUAUUUCUUCACGAGUAUGGCGUUUUUGAAAAGAUGAUAAGAUUCUAUUCUGAAGUUUCAAUUUUCCAUGUCUUGAUAGCUUGUCCAAGACAUGAAGCAGGCGUGGGGGGAAAUCAAAAAUAAUUUGGUGAGCAAAUGUAGAAUUCCAAAAUUCUAUGCUGGCCUCUGAAAUGGAGGGAUAUGGGUGAUCAAGAGUUUUUUUUUUCAAAUAGAGCUUCGUGAAGUUCGAGUAAAGCCGAACCAAAGUGUAUUGGAGGUUGACUCCUUUUUAAAGAGCUAAGAAUUUCAGUCCACAGAAGUUUUAGGUUAUCAUUUGUUCUUUCAUUUUGCAUUCCCGUAUUUGAUAGCCAUUGAAGUAGUGGACAGGAAAUAAUCUCCAGAAAAAUAAGAAUAUACUGCUUCCGGUGAAGGCAAUUAAUAAAGGAUGCCAAUGCAGAAGAUAGCCUUGAUGUUCCAACAAAACCAGGCAGUGGGUUUGUCACCAUCGUUAUCCUCAACAAAUUAAUAUACUUGGAAGCAAACGUUAGGCAGUUCUUUAUACUGUUGAGUAUUUUGUUAUCACAUUCAGAUUUACUUCUGUUGGUUUCUGAAACUAAUUCCAAAGUCUGAAUCUGUUCAAGAAUGCAUAUCAAAAAAUUGCCAGAUAGGUGAAGGAUACCAAGAUCUAUAUCACUGCAUGUUAACUUGAAAUCAGUGCCACUCUCUAACAUGCCAACAUUUUCAUCAAGCCACCUAUUUAUCAAUUUGCNN